AUUUUACACCUGCACAUUCACAGAAGAGACAAAUUCCACACAAAAUAGAGACACACACAGAGACAGAAGAAAACCAACUGACACUCAGCAUCUUGAAAAGGAAGAAAACAAAUAUUCCAGCUAGCAGUGCAGAACUCUGCUUGAUCUCUUGCCAGAAAAUAGAAGUCAGUUUAACUUAUGUUGCUGAUGACUAGAAAGUCCAAGAUGGAGGAAGUACACCUGAACGACCAUUUGUGCUGUACUAUGACAUGGUAGAAAGCAUCAUAUGGAAUUGGUGUAUAUUGCAACCUAGCCAACAUUUGAAGGUGUCUUGUCCUCAUCUCAUGUGCCCCCUAGCAACGAUAUUAUCAACAAGAACUUCAUUUUCUUUAUAACCAAUAUGCUCAAGUCCAGAGACAUGAUCUGAAGAAAUUCUGAAGCAGCAGUGCUUUCUAAUGACUUCUAGGCAAUUCCAUUAUUUGCAUUGGUCAUUUUGUAGCCACUGCUGUCACAUCUUCCUGCUGAGUGUUUGCUUAAUCCGAGUGAAGAUACCUUUGGAGAGGGAAGCACGGACUUCAUUAUGGAUCAGUGAUACAUUGAGUCUGCAGGGGAGAAAUGGAAAACAGAGGCUCCUUAAGUUAAAUCCAUGUGAACACCAAAAACCACAAAUAUAUUUGGAUAUGUGUCACAUCCACCUCAUCAAAUGCUGUGUAAUACAGAUGGAAGAUAUCACCCAGACAUCUAUAAUUUUAUCCAAAAAUGACACUAUAAAUGGAACUAGCGGCCCAGGAUACAGAUACAGUUAUGUAGCACCAACUCAUAGACAGAAAACUAAGGAUUUCCUUAACUAUCCCCAACAUAAAUAAUAAUAUCUUGGUGACUGUUACCUAAAUAAAAAAGUUACAGUAGAAAAUCAUUGUGUUUGGAGCUGUGACGAAAGGACGGACCAUCUAGAGACUGCCAUAUCCAGGGAUCCACCCCAUAAUCAGCUUCCAAAUGCUGACACCAUUGCAUACACUAGCAAGAUUUUGCUGAAAGGACCCAGAUAUAGCUGUCUCUUGUGAGACUAUGCUGGGGCCUAGCAAACACAGAAGUGGAUGCUCACAGUCAGCUAGUGGAUGGAUCACAGGGCCCCCAAUGGAGGAGCUAGAGAAAGUAUCCAAGGAGCUAAAGAGAUCUGCAACCCUAUCGGUGGAACAACAUUAUGAACUAACCAGUACCCCGGAGCUCUUGACUCUAGCUGCAUAUGUAUCAAAAGAUGGCCUAGUCGGCCAUCACUGGGAAGAGAGGCCCAUUGGACACGCAAACUUUAUAUGCCCCAGUACAGAGGAACGCCAGGGCCAAAAAGUGGGAGUGGGUGGGUAGGGGAAAAUAGAUUAUCUUUUCAUACAGUAUAUCCUGAUUAUAGUUUCUUCUCCCUCUACUCCUCUCAGUACCUUGCCACCUUUCCUUCCCUCCAAAUAUAACCCCUUUCUGUCUUUUACUAGAAAAUAACAGGUUUCUAAGAGAUAACAACCAAACAUGACAAAAUAAAAUACAAUAUGAUGAAGCAAAAAUUGUUAUAUUGAAAUUGGGCAUGGCUACCCAACAUGAGGAGAAAAGUACCAAGAGUAGGUACAAGCAUCAGAGAAAUACUCGUUAUUAUCAUCAGGAGUACCAUAAAAAUACUAAUCUAAUAGCUAUAAUAUAUAUGCAGAGAAUCUGGUACAGUCACAUAUAGGCCUGUGCUUUCUGCUUCAAUCUCUGUGACCUCCUAUGUCCUUUGCUUAGUUGAUCUAAGUGGCAUUGCAGAAAAGCUUCGUUUGACAGUGGGAAACAGUCAAACUAGGGAAUCAUAACUUACUAAGGUUCUGAAAAUGAGUUAUUGUUAAGUGCUUGGCUCCAAAAGAUACAUGUAUGACAUAUCCCCUGCAACCCAUGGAACAUAGCAGAAGAGAGGAUGGAUGGAUGGACAGUGAGAAUCAAAGGACAUAUUGAGAUGUCAUCUGGAUAUGACAUGUCUAUUGUAUCCAAGAACACACAACCACUGCAACUGCCUGAAUCAGCCCUGAACCAAAAAAUACUGUGGUGAGGGGUAUAUAAGAGUAAGAGGGUUAUUAUGGGAAAAUGAAGGGGGUUGGCAGGAAUGGGAAGAGGAGAGGAGAAGGUAAUUGAGUAUUAGUGUUAUCAAAUCACAUUUUUUUUACUUUUCUUUUUUAUUAGAUAUUUUCUUUAUUUACAUUUCAAAUGUUAUUCCCUUUCUUAUUUUCCCCUCAGAAAACCCCCUAUCACUUCCCCCCUCCACCUGCUCACCAACCCACCCACUCCAGCUUCCUGGCCCUGGCAUUCACCUAUACUGGGGAACAUUCACAGGAUGAAGGGCCGCUCUUUCCAUUGAUGACUGACUAGUCCAUUCUCUGCUACAUAUACAGCUAGAGCCAUGAGUCCCACCAUGUGUUUUCUUUGGUUGAUGGUUUAGUCCCAGGGAGGUCUGGGGGUACUGGUUAGUUCAUAUUGUUGUUCCUCCUAUGGGAAUGCAAACUCCUUCAGCUCUUUGAGUGCUUUUCCUAGCUCCUUCAUUAGGGACCCAGUGCUCUGUCCAAUGAAUGGCUGUGAGCAUCCACUUCUGUAUUUCUCAGGCACUGGCAGAGCCUCUCAGGAGACAGCUAUAUCAGGUUCUUGUUACCAAGCUCUUGUUGUCAUCCACAAUAGUGCCUGGGUUUGAUGGUUGUAUAUAGGAUGGAUACAGAGGUAUGGCAGUCUCUGGAUGAUCAUUCCUACAGUUUCUGCUCCACAUUUUGACUUUGUAACUCCUUCCAUGGGUGUUUUGUUCCCCCUUCUAAGAAGGAUCAAAGUGUCCAUACUUUGGUCUUCCUUCUUCUCGAGUUUCAUGUGUUUUAUGAAUUGUAUCUUGGGUAUUCCAAGCUUCUGGGCUAAUUUCCAUUUAUCAGUGAGUGCAUAUCAUGUGUGUUCUUUUGUGAUUGGGCUACCUCACUCAGGAUAAUAUCCUCCAGAUCCAUCCAUUUGCUAAGAAUUUCAUAAAUUAAUUGUUUUUAAUAGCUGAGUCGCACUCCAUUGUGUAAAUGUACUACAUUUUCUGUAUCCAUUCCUCUGUUGAGGGACAUCUGGGUUCUUUCCAGCUCCUGGCUAUUAUAAAUACAGAGGUAAAUAAAGUAUUCUCAACUGAGAAAUACUGAAUGGCUGAGAAGCACCUAAAGAAAUGUUAAACAUCCUUAGUCAUCAGGGAAAUGCAAUUCAAAACAACCCUGAGAUUCUACCUCACACCAGUCAGAAUAGCUAAGAUAAAAAACUCAGGUGACAGCAGAUGAUGGCUAGAAUGUAGAGAAAGAGGAACAUUCCUCCAUUGAUGGUGGGAUUGCAAGCUGGUACAACCACUCUGGAAAUCAGUUUGGCAGUUCCUCAGAAAAUUGGACAUAGUACUACCAGAGGAUCCAGAAAUACCACUCCUGGGCAUAUAACCAGAAGAUGCUCCAACAUGUAACAAGGACACAUGCUCCACUAUGUUCAAAUCACAUUUAAAGCAAGUAUGUAUGAUACUGUCAAAAUAUAUAUUAAUAUACGUUUUAGUCUGAAGGUGAGGAGAAAAAGCAACAUUCAGGGAAGAAAAGCGAACACCAUUGACAAUGAAUAUGGAUUUCUCUGAGAGUUGUGGAAAUGAGACAUAUCCUAAUGUGAAUAUGGGAUCUCUAGGGGAGAGUUGCAACUGUUCUAAUAUUAGUAACAUUCUCAAUUUUGGCAGUUCUCAUUACAUCCCAAAACACUACUAAGAAACUUGUGGGGUUUUUUCUUCUUCUUUCUCCAUUUGACAGGUUUGGUGACUCUGGUGGAGGUCCCUUGGAUAGAACUAUAAUGUGAUAAAGUAAAAACAGAAGCCACUGGAGUUGCACAAGAGCUUUGGUACAUGUCAAUUUCCUGUAAAUGAAGGUUCUGAUUAUAGUCCUAUUAAAUUGCAGGGCUUAAAAUGGGAAAGGGAGAAAAGCCUUAAGCAGUUUUCGAUUGUGCAAACAGAGUUCUUGUCUUUCUGCUGGCAUGAGGUUUCAAUUGGAUCCUAGGGUGAGGCAAUUUUCCCUGUUCUCACCUUUUGCCCAGUUUUUCUUGCUAUUCUAUCCUUUCUCUAUAGAAAAAAGAAAAAAAAAGUUCAAACCAAAAAUUACUCCCCCAAACAAACAAACAAACAAACAAACAAACAAAACACUGUAUAUGCAGAAAGACAGGCACCUAAGCUAAUUCAAUUAACAGAGGACUUCCCCCAGCCCAAGAAAGAACACAUGUCUCUAGUAAGCUGCUUGUUCACAGAGGUGAAAAAGGAGUAUUUCGAGAAAAGUCAAUCUCUUUAAUAAAUUGUUCUCUUGCCCUACAAAAAGUUAAACUUAAAAGAGAUCAGAUAUCUUAACGAAAGAUUCAAAAUUUGGAACUACUAGAAGAAAAAUAGAACUACUGAAGGAUAUUAAUAUAGGGGAAAAUUAGUCUAUAGGAAUCCAAAAACCCAUCAAACAAGGCACUGGACAAAUGGGACUACAUCAAGUUAAAAGGUUUGAACAGAAAAGGAAAAAAUAGCUAACAGACUUGGACAGACUAUUUGUCAACCAUUAGUGGAAGAUGAAUAACUAGUAUAUGUAAGUAACUAAAAAUCUUAACAUUGAAACAAUAAUGCACAGAAAAAUAGUCAAAUGUGUUCAACACACAUUUCUAAAGAAACAGGCAGAGAGUACAGGAAACAAAAACUUUCAAAAUAUUAUUAAUCAUCAAAGAAAUGCAAGAGGAAACUGAAUGGAAAUUCAUUCUAUUUUCAGUCAGAAUGGCAAAUAAGAAAUAGAAAAAAGACAAUCC
rnacentral:lncRNA from 1 species